rnacentral:rRNA from 1 species
CUUAGUGGCGGACGGGUGAGUAACGCGUGGGUAACCUGCCUUAUACAGGGGGAUAACACUUAGAAAUAGGUGCUAAUACCGCAUAAGCGCACGGGGCUGCAUGGCCCAGUGUGAAAAACUCCGGUGGUAUAAGAUGGACCCGCGUCUGAUUAGCUUGUUGGCGGGGUAACGGCCCACCAAGGCGACGAUCAGUAGCCGGCCUGAGAGGGUGGACGGCCACAUUGGGACUGAGAUACGGCCCAGACUCCUACGGAAGGCAGCAG